UGCAGAGAUCUAAAACUGGAAAACAUUUUAGUUACAAGCAGUGACUUCAAUGAAGUAAAUGAACUGAAAUUAAACAUAAAGGUUUUCCAUCCUUUCAUUCAAGUCACCACUUCCAUCAUGACCAGCUGUUCUUUUCUCAUGGUUUUGCUUUAUGUACCCCUUUGGAACAGCAAGUAGCACACUCUGUCCUCUCUCCUGCAAGAGAAGAAUAACUCCUGAAUGACUGCUGAAUGACUUCAAUGGGAGAAGUGGAAAACACAGAAUCAAGCCCCAAAGCUGGUGUGGCCAGCAGCAAUUAAAAUGACUACAGGAAAGGAGAGGUC